GUGGGGAAUCUUGCGCAAUGGGCGAAAGCCUGACGCAGCCAUGCCGCGUGAAUGAUGAAGGUCUUAGGAUUGUAAAAUUCUUUCACCGGGGACGAUAAUGACGGUACCCGGAGAAGAAGCUCCGGCUAACUUCGUGCCAGCAGCCGCGGUAAUACGAAGGGGGCUAGCGUUGCUCGGAAUUACUGGGCGUAAAGGGCGCGUAGGCGGACAGCUUAGUCAGAGGUGAAAGCCCAGGGCUCAACCUUGGAAUUGCCUUUGAUACUGGCUGUCUUGAGUUUGGGAGAGUUGAGUGGAACUCCGAGUGUAGAGGUGAAAUUCGUAGAUAUUCGGAAGAACACCAGUGGCGAAGGCGACUCACUGGCCCAAUACUGACGCUGAGGCGCGAAAGCGUGGGGAGCAAACAGGAUUAGAAACCCUGGUAGUCC
rnacentral:rRNA from 1 species